rnacentral:rRNA from 1 species
UACAGAGGCGGCAAGCGUUGUUCGGAAUUACUGGGCGUAAAGGGCGCGUAGGCGGCUUGGUCAGUCCCGUGUGAAAUCCCUCGGCUCAACUGAGGAACUGCACGGGAAACUGCCUGGCUUGAGUUCGGGAGAGGGAAGCGGAAUUCCGGGUGUAGCGGUGAAAUGCGUAGAUAUCCGGAGGAACACCGGUGGCGAAGGCGGCUUCCUGGACCGACACUGACGCUGAGGCGCGAAAGCUAGGGGAGCAAACGGG